CCUCCUUAUAACGAAGUUACACUUACAGAGUGUUCACACAAAUAAUUAAUUACGAAGUUUUAAGAGAGCUCUAACCCAUGCGCACAGUAUGUGCUCAUCAGUUAGGGUUUUUAACCCGGACGUGUAAACGUCAUGCUCUUUAACAAUUUGGAAAGCUGAUAAAAUAAGGUAAACAUUAUUGUUUAUUUAAUUUGUUAUUCAACAAUUUAAAAAAAAUAAUUUUGAUUAUCACUGUAAGAGAAAACUCAAGCGUUAUUUAUGUCAAAACGAACAUGCCUAUACAACAUGUCUCGUUAAUAAAUAUGACACAAGAUGAUGCAAUCGAGAAUGUGAGAACAUUUAAGGUUGUAUGGUUAAGUGAAUAAGCGUAUACGGUGGAUGC
rnacentral:misc_RNA from 1 species